rnacentral:lncRNA from 1 species
GCCUCACUAAGUUGCUGAGGCUGGCUUUGAUUCUACUGCCUCAGUCUCCUGAGUCACUGGGAUUAUAGGCAUGCACUACCACACCUGGCUAAAACCAACAUUUGUAAGACCACUCACACACACAUAUAGAUAAUCUUCAACUAUCUAGAUGUUAAAUAUAGCCAAUCCUUUAACAAAUUCCUUAUAGCAACUGGUAAUUGACUAAUAAUCAAUUCUAUGGAGAAUAUAGCAAGAAGAAACUAUCUUGAAAGAGUAGAAAAAAACACUAGAUAAAUUUGGACAGAGGUUAUUUAUUUAUUCAGAGCUUGCUAUAGCAAGAGUCAGCCACCAUUGGUUGCAUUUGGCAGAGACUAAAAACAAAAACAAGGUGAAUGUCAGGCAUGCUCUAAUUGGGGUGUAAGCAUGGGAGGCUUAGGCAGACUGCUUAGAAGCAGGGUAUCCUAAGUGAUGGAUUUGGAAAAAAAAUAUUUAGCUUUACUUGACUGGUUCUGAGUUGAAAUGAAAAGAAAAAAUCAGGAGAAUUUGGCAGUUAUUGAUCAAGUCCUGACCAUUCUGGGCUGAUUGUUGCAGAUACUGUGGUUUGGCUUUCUGAACUGGUGAUUAUAAUGAAAAUUCUGUUGCCAAUAUGUGGUCUGGUCAAUGUCCAGUGAUAUAUCCUCUCUCAAAAGCAAUUCAAAUUUGAUAUCUGAAAUACUAAAAAUGUUUUUAGUAAAAGUUGAAGGCUGAUUCUUUUCCUUAGCCUACAGAUCCUUAUCUCAGACCUCCUUAUUCUUUUUCAUCCAUUUUGUGAUGCCUGUAACCUGAAGGGAUACAGGAGGAGUGAAGUGGUAAAGGAAGUGGGAGUAAUUAAUUAUGUAACAAAUUAUGAAACUGUUCCACAUGCAAAAAACAAAUAUUAUUAGCUUGAAUAACAAGAAUAAGAUCAAGUUCUGCAUUCUUUAGUAGGUGAGCACUGU